rnacentral:rRNA from 1 species
UACGUAGGAUCCAAGCGUUGUCCGGAUUUACUGGGUGUAAAGGGUGCGCAGGCGGACUUGUAAGUCAGGGGUGAAAUCUCACAGCUUAACUGUGAAACUGCCUUUGAUACUGGGUGUCUCGAGGGAGGUAGGGGCAGGUGGAACUUCCGGUGGAGCGGUGAAAUGCGUAGAUAUCGGAAGGAACGCCGGUGGCGAAGGCGGGCUACUGGGCCGAUACUGACGCUGAGGCGCGAAAGCGUGGGGAGCAAACAGG